rnacentral:tRNA from 1 species
UGACAGUGUGGCUCAGUGGUAGAGCAUGUCCUUAGCACACACACGGCCCUGGGUUUGAUCCCAGUGUGAA